GCGUGAGGGAUGACGGCCUUCGGGUUGUAAACCUCUUUCAGUAGGGAAGAAGCGAGAGUGACGGUACCUGCAGAAGAAGCGCCGGCUAACUACGUGCCAGCAGCCGCGGUAAUACGUAGGGCGCAAGCGUUGUCCGGAAUUAUUGGGCGUAAAGAGCUCGUAGGCGGUUUGUCGCGUCUGCUGUGAAAGCCCGGGGCUCAACCCCGGGUCUGCAGUGGGUACGGGCAGACUAGAGUGCAGUAGGGGAGACUGGAAUUCCUGGUGUAGCGGUGAAAUGCGCAGAUAUCAGGAGGAACACCGAUGGCGAAGGCAGGUCUCUGGGCUGUUACUGACGCUGAGGAGCGAAAGCAUGGGGAGCGAACAGGAUUAGAUACCCUGGUAGUCCAUGCCGUAAACGUUGGGCACUAGGUGUGGGGGACAUUCCACGUUUUCCGCGCCGUAGCUAACGCAUUAAGUGCCCCGCCUGGGGAGUACGGCCGCAAGGCUAAAACUCAAAGGAAUUGACGGGGGCCCGCACAAGCGGCGGAGCAUGCGGAUUAAUUCGAUGCAACGCGAAGAACCUUACCAAGGCUUGACAUUCACCGGACCGCCCCAGAGAUGGGGUUUCCCUUCGGGGCUGGUGGACAGGUGGUGCAUGGUUGUCGUCAGCUCGUGUCGUGAGAUGUUGGGUUAAGUCCCGCAACGAGCGCAACCCUCGUUCUAUGUUGCCAGCACGUGAUGGUGGGGACUCAUAGGAGACUGCCGGGGUCAACUCGGAGGAAGGUGGGGAUGACGUCAAAUCAUCAUGCCCCUUAUGUCUUGGGCUUCACGCAUGCUACAAUGGCCGGUACAAAGGGUUGCGAUACUGUGAGGUGGAGCUAAUCCCAAAAAGCCGGUCUCAGUUCGGAUUGAGGUCUGCAACUCGACCUCAUGAAGUCGGAGUCGCUAGUAAUCGCAGAUCAGCAACGCUGCGGUGAAUACGUUCCCGGGCCUUGUACACACCGCCCGUCAAGUCACGAAAGUUGGUAACACCCGAAGCCGGUGGCCUAACCCCUUGUGGGAGGGAGCCGU
rnacentral:rRNA from 1 species